AAGGUAAGUCUGUCAAUAUAGCCAAAGACGACUUCCUACUAUACUUAAAACUCCAUAAAAAGAGGGUAGUCUCUCUUAACUUGUAAAACUUGCCUUUUUAGGAGAAAAAAAUUGUACAUUAGGCAAGUCAUCCUUGGCUAAUAAACAAAGACUUUUCU
rfam:Nicotiana attenuata strain TT chromosome 2, whole genome shotgun sequence.